rnacentral:lncRNA from 1 species
CGUCAAAGUAUUAGUUUAUAUCAUCAAAGAUUAUGGUGAAAUAGUAAGUAUUCUUUAUUCUUAAUCAACAAUUUCGGAUUCAAGUCCUAAAAAAGUCUUCUUUGGCAAGGAGCAUUUUAAACCCAAAAUGGGACUUCCAUUCGCGAAUCCAGAUUAAUCGGACCCUAAAAAUGGUUCCACCUAUCAGGUUGGAAACCAAAAAAAAAAAAAAAAUUAUCUCCUUACAAUGUUCAGUAAAAAUUUAUAGUUGUAGAUUGAAUGAUUUAACUCCAAGCAUAGCAUAUACAUGGCAAAGUUAAGAUUGAUGCUCUAUUUCAAAAUUACGCUACAUGUGAAAUGUGUGUCAUAUCUUGUGUGCCUACCUGAUGUUCUUUUUAAGAUAGUCAAUUACAGGAGAUUCAAAACUCCAGAAAAAAAAAAUAAUGUGACUAAGAUUUCAAAUACCAUCAAAACUUUCUUUAACAUCACCAAGACACCAACAAUGUAGGAAAACUCAUCUACACUAGAUAUUUUUCUCAAUAAGAAGAAAUGGCAAUAUUCCAUUUAAAUUGAGCAGUGUCUAUUAGAAAAACAAUCUAACAUCAGCUGCUAUCUCACUGGUCACAAGGCAACUCAUGAGUCUUCUUGGUUUUCUUUGCAGCAACUAUGAUUGGCUCUGGGUUGGAGGAAUGGACUCGCAGAUUAUAGGAAGAUCAACAAAUACGUCGACAGGCAUAAUCCUGAUGCAAUUUGUUAAAAUCGUACAUAAUAUUUUUGGCUUCUGAUUUGAUUAUGCGUUUUUAUGUAUGUAUAUACCGGAUCUUGAUGCUAACAAAAGAGCUGGAGUUUAGCUACCGCUAAAAAA